rnacentral:rRNA from 1 species
UACGGGGGGGGGCAAGCGUUGUCCGGAAUUACUGGGCGUAAAGAGCUCGUAGGUGGUUUGUCGCGUUGUUCGUGAAAACUCACAGCUUAACUGUGGGCGUGCGGGCGAUACGGGCAGACUGGAGUACUGCAGGGGGAGACUGGAAUUCCUGGUGUAGCGGUGGAAUGCGCAGAUAUCAGGAGGAACACCGGUGGCGAAGGCGGGUCUCUGGGCCGAUACUGACGCUGAGGAGCGAAAGCGUGGGGAGCGAACAGG